rnacentral:rRNA from 1 species
GAUGAACGCUGGCGGCGUGCUUAACACAUGCAAGUCGAACGGGGAUACCUGAGUAGCAAUACGAAGGUAUUCUAGUGGCGGACGGGUGAGUAACGCGUGAGGAACCUGCCUUGGAGAGGGGAAUAACACACUGAAAAGUGUGCUAAUACCGCAUGAUAUAUCGAAGUCGCAUGGCUUUGAUAUCAAAGAUUUAUCGCUCUAAGAUGGGCCUCGCGUCUGAUUAGCUAGUUGGUGGGGUAACGGCCCACCAAGGCGACGAUCAGUAGCCGGACUGAGAGGUUGACCGGCCACAUUGGGACUGAGAUACGGCCCAGACUCCUACGGGAGGCAGCAGUGGGGAAUAUUGGGCAAUGGGCGAAAGCCUGACCCAGCAACGCCGCGUGAAGGAAGACGGCCCUACGGGUUGUAAACUUCUUUUAUACGGGAAUAAAGUGCCCCACGCGUGGGUUUUGCAUGUACCGUAUGAAUAAGGAUCGGCUAACUCCGUGCCAGCAGCCGCGGU